AUGAUAGAUAAUAAUACAACUGUAUGUGCUCUGUUCUGGAAUAAUCAGUUUCACGUGGUGUCGCAGCUACAUGGAACUUUGCUUCUGUUACAAAAUAAUGCAGAUCAGGUUGACAAGCCUAUUGUAUGGAAGCAUUUCAAUGAUGUUUUGGACAGCUCAUGGACACAAGGGAAUGACUAUGUCGCAAAAUCUGUGGAUUUUAAAGGCUGUCGGAGGUUCAUUAUUUGUCCUAAUAUGACUGGCUCAUCCGCGCUGGUAGCACUAUGCAAUGCCAUACUUCUAAGAGGCGAUGUGGACCUGAGUAAAAUACUCGAUUGUAACUUGAGUCUAAAUCUUGGCCAUCUUCAUCAAGUUGUUUUUGGGGCCUCCAAGACUACAUCCUAUACCAUGAGGCCAGAAGAAUGGGUUGUAGCAGUAGGAUGCCUUCAUCAACCUGUCGAUGUUAAACUGAACUUCAAAAGCAUCCGUAACAUAAAAAUCAUGAAAGACUAUAAGAUUUUUGAGAACUUUGGCUUUGAUUUAUACCAUGGUUUCAUCGCUGACCCGGAGGAUCUCAAUCUUUGCAAUGCAAUUGGACAAGGGUAUUAUGAUUGUACAACUGAGAGCCCACCUUCUCAUUUGAAGGCAGAAGAUCAUAGAGAGUUACUUGAUAAGUUCCUAAAAGAUCAUGAUACUGAACUAACACCUCAUGGUUUGCAAAGUUUACAAGAGGAAUUGUCUGAAACAAAGAUCCAUGUUAUAUUCUGGAACAAACAGUUCCAUACUGCUAUCAAGUGCAAUAACCGCAUCUUUGUUUUGGAUCCAAGUUUGAGUUCAUUUGAUGCUGGCAAAAUAUGGAGAAGUUUAGACAUUGUGGAUGGUGCCGGAGCAACUUUGGCCAGUGUUCCCUACCCUAAGUCAGGCGAACAUAAAUGCAUCAGUCCAGAUUGUCUAUUGGCAUUUAACUCACCAUUUAAUCUUCGACGGCAUAAUUAUGUUCAUCAUACAAGUUCUGGCAGCAAAGAAUUGGACAUUUUGCAACACAGAACUGAAUUUAGUAAUUGUUGGGAUAGUCUCUCAUCUGAAGAGUCUGGGGAGAUAUUGUCUUUAAAGGAUAUGAAAUUUAAGAAUCUUGAGGGAAAACUCAUUGUGCGAAUAUUAGAACAGCGAUCUUCUGAAAGUGACAGUGUUGCUAUGACGUUGUUGGGCAUUAGGAGUCGUUUAAUGGAAGGAGAAAAGAUAAUGUCAGCAGUUCUGUUUGCUGUUCUUGAUGAAGCUAGCGAGAAAACUUUGUUAUGCUCUGAUAUUCGUAAUUGUGAAGAGGGAAGAAUAUGGGACGGCAGUCGGAGUGGCAUCAUGACCAUGAACUCAUUGCUUGCGUGUUACAGCUACUUGCUUGAGAAAGCAUUGGUGAACAAAUGGUUACAACACAAGGAUGCACUAGCAAAUAAAGUUGGGGAAGAUCUUAUUGCUGUGGAGAAAGCGGAGAAAAGGGGAAAGAAAAAGGCCAACGACCAAAACAAACAGGGAAAUCAUAGUUCUACCGGAAAUCAUAGUUCUACUUCUGUUGGUCAAUGUGUUGACCAAUCUUUAGAAGGCACUGGAGAGGAUACAAGAGAUAACGACAAACAGGGAGAGCUAGAUAUUUCUUCGCAUCCUACCAGAAAUCAUAGUUCUACUUCUACUGGCCAACGUGAUGACCAACCUUUAGAAGGCACUGCAGAGGAUCCAAGAGAUAACAGGGUUCAAAGUAGCCAAUCGUUAAAACAUCCUAAAGACGACACCAUUGGCAAUCUGUAUUAUUUGGUUCUUGAAUUCCUCGAGAGGUACUGCUUAUUCAUUUUCCUUCUGACUUGUCUGCUGUUAGAACAAGUGUUUAUUUUAUGUUGGUUGUUGGUUCUUGUUUGGUGA
rnacentral:rRNA from 1 species